rnacentral:rRNA from 1 species
GAUGAACGCUGGCGGCGUGCCUAAUACAUGCAAGUCGAGCGAACAGACGAGGAGCUUGCUCCUCUGAUGUUAGCGGCGGACGGGUGAGUAACACGUGGAUAACCUACCUAUAAGACUGGGAUAACUUCGGGAAACCGGAGCUAAUACCGGAUAACAUGUUGAACCGCAUGGUUCAACAGUGAAAGACGGUCUUGCUGUCACUUAUAGAUGGAUCCGCGCCGCAUUAGCUAGUUGGUAAGGUAACGGCUUACCAAGGCAACGAUGCGUAGCCGACCUGAGAGGGUGAUCGGCCACACGAGAACUGAGACACGGUCCUGACUACUACGGGAGGCAGCAGUAGGGAAUCUGCCGCAAUGGGCGGAAGCAUGACGGAGCAACGCCGCGUGAGUGAAGAAGGUCUUCGGAUCGGAAAACUCUGUUAUUAGGGAAGAACAAAUGUGUAAGUAACUAUGCACGGCUUGACGGUACCUAAUCAGAAAGCCACGGCUAACUACGUG